rnacentral:rRNA from 1 species
GGAAUAUUGGUCAAUGGACGAGAGUCUGAACCAGCCAAGUAGCGUGCAGGAUGACGGCCCUAUGGGUUGUAAACUGCUUUUAUACGGGGAUAAAGUGACCCACGUGUGGGUUUUUGUAGGUACCGUAUGAAUAAGGACCGGCUAAUUCCGUGCCAGCAGCCGCGGUAAUACGGAAGGUCCGGGCGUUAUCCGGAUUUAUUGGGUUUAAAGGGAGCGCAGGCGGGCGUUUAAGCGUGACGUGAAAUGUAGCCGCUCAACGGCUGAACUGCGUCGCGAACUGGAUGCCUUGAGUGAGUACGACGCGGACGGAAUUCGUGGUGUAGCGGUGAAAUGCUUAGAUAUCACGAAGAACUCCGAUUGCGAAGGCAGCGUUCCAGGGUGUAACUGACGCUAAAGCUCGAAAGUGCGGGUAUCGAACA